rnacentral:rRNA from 1 species
AUGGUUCGUGGGACGUCCUGCCGGUGGUGGCGAGCCGAAAGCGUGCGGCCGCCGUGGUUAGCCCACGUGCGGUUCCUGCGCGCCGUAGGCGGACCCCGAUGAAAUCCUACCGCGGUGCUCUUCAUCGAGUGUCGAGGUGGGCCGGCACGUUUACUUUGAACAAAUUAGAGUGCUUAAAGCAGGCCGGCUGCGCCUGAAUACUGUGUGCAUGGAAUAAUGGAAUAGGACCUCGGUUCUAUUUUGUUGGUUUUCGGAACCCGAGGUAAUGAUUAAUAGGGACAGGCGGGGGCAUUCGUAUUGCGACGUUAGAGGUGAAAUUCUUGGAUCGUCGCAAGACGGACCGAAGCGAAAGCAUUUGCCAAGUAUGUUUUCAUUAAUCAAGAACGAAAGUUAGAGGUUCGAAGGCGAUCAGAUACCGCCCUAGUUCUAACCAUAAACGAUGCCAGCUAGCGAUCCGCCGAAGUUCCUCCGAUGACUCGGCGGGCAGCUCCCGGAAACCAAAGCUUUUGGGUUCCGGGGGAAGUAUGGUUGCAAAGCUGAACUUAAAGGAAUUGACGGAAGG